AAUGCACGCAAGUGUGACCAAGCGACGCCGAGUGCUGGAUGAAGGCCUUCGGGUUGUAAACAGCUGUCAGAGGGGAUGAAUUGUUGGGGGCUAUCCCCCUUCAUUGACAAAGCCUCAGAGGAAGCGCGGGCUAAGUUCGUGCCAGCAGCCGCGGUAAUACGAACUGCGCGAACGUUAUUCGGAAUCACUGGGCUUAAAGGGUGCGUAGGCGGCCUGUUAAGUAGGGUGUGAAAUUUGUCGGCUCAACCGGCAAACUGCAUUCUAAACUGGCAGGCUUGAGUAAGUCAGGGGUGUGCGGAACUUCCGGUGGAGCGGUGAAAUGUGUUGAUAUCGGAAGGAACGCCGGUGGCGAAAGCGGCACACUGGGGCUUUUCUGACGCUGAGGCACGAAAGCCAGGGGAGCGAACAGGAUU
rnacentral:rRNA from 1 species